rnacentral:rRNA from 1 species
CACGUAGGAGGCGAGCGUUGUCCGGAAUCAUUGGGCGUAAAGAGCGCGCAGGCGGCCCGGCAAGUCGGGUGUGAAAUCCCGGGGCUCAACCCCGGGACUGCAUUCGAUACUGUCGGGCUAGAGGUAGGUAGAGGAGAUCGGAAUUCCUGGUGUAGCGGUGAAAUGCGCAGAUAUCAGGAGGAACACCGGUGGCGAAGGCGGAUCUCUGGGCCUUACCUGACGCUCAGGCGCGAAAGCUAGGGGAGCGAACAGG